GCAUCCGUGGCUCAAUGGCAGAGCAACUGACUCUUAAUCAGUGGGUUGGAGGUUCGACUCCUCCCGGGUGCACCA
rnacentral:tRNA from 1 species